AUUGAACGCUGGCGGCAGGCCUAACACAUGCAAGUAGAGCGAGCGGCGGACGGGGGAGUAAUGUCUGGGAAAAAGCCUGCUGGAAGGGGAGAACUACUGGAAAAGAUAGCUAAUACCACAUAGCAUCAGAUGUGCACAGAUGGGAUUAGCUAGUAGGUGGGGUAACGGCUCACCUAGGCGACGAUCCCUAGCGGGUCUGAGAGGAUGACCAGCCACACGGGAACUGAGACACGGUCCAGACUCCUACGGGAGGCAGCAGUGGGGAAUAUUGCACAAUGGGCGCAAGCCUGAUGCAGCCAUGCCGCGUGUGUGAAGAAGGCCUUCGGGUUGUAAAGCACUUUCAGCGGGGAGGCGUUACCCGCAGAAGAAGCACCGGCUAACUCCGUGCCAGCAGCCGCGGUAAUUC
rnacentral:rRNA from 1 species